ensembl:lncRNA
AUGCUCUGAAUUGCAGUACCUCCAGUUUUUCAUGACGCCCCAUGACAUUUUCUAGCUUUACCCGUCCUUAAAAUACCUCUCAUAACUCCCACAUCAUGCACUGAAGUCUUUAUAUUAAGUCUUAAAGCCGAUUAAGUUUUUUUCUUUCCUGUAUGUCAGCUAUAAUGUAAGCACGUUUUUAUUGUUUUCCACCCAGAAACCAUGAGGGGACGCUAACUUCAGGAUCGGCAACAUCAGCACGCACGACCUCCCCCACUGCCCGAGUUGCAAUGGGCCACUUAAAGGCCUCUUAAGGUGUGGCUCAGAGUCAGCGCAUCGUCAGGGGAGCCGUUAAAGCCCAUUGUUAGCGUGAAUGGUAAGGAAGGCAGCCGUAGGCCACCCGAUCAAGAUAUGUGGGGAGAGAGGGACGGUGGUCAUCAGCCGGGUGUCGAAGCUAUCAAAAGACCAUCACAGUGGUCAUAUCAGGAGUCUCCACUGUGGUGCAGUCAGACCAAGAUCAGCUAGUGCACCUGAAAUCUUUUGAUCGUGAUGAUGAUAACUCAAACAUUUUCAAUGUAUAUGUUCACAGAGCUACAUUUGAUCCUUCCAGACAUCUCGGAUAAAAGUUUUAGCUGCCAUUUUCUGUUUGAGAUUUUACUAGUUUGGUAUUGAACUAGAUUUGAUUCAAGCGUCUACGGUAUAAAUGUGAUCUGAUUUCUGCUAUGUGGAAUAAUAAUUGGCUAUAUUGUGUAAGCUACAUGUUGACUGACUAACUGGAUUUUGAAAAAUCUCACUAAUCAAAACAAGAACUCGUUCAUUAUAUUAAAUGUUCUCACACGAAUGCAAGGUAUUCCCGUAGGGAAACAGGACGAGUGACGUGAACUUCAUGAACACGUUUCAACGCGAAUACUCAAGCACCUGUCUUAUAGAUGGACUGUAGUAGACAUUCGACACAUUGAUCUCAAUAGCAUUCGGCAGUUGUGUCGAACUUAAUUCCCAUGAGUGUGAUUUCAACACCUGUUCCUGUUUCGUUAAGACGUCCUGACAGCAUUUCCCGUGUAUCACCUGAUCAUAGCAUGUUCGGGUUACUCAGAAACUGCCCCAUGAGCCCAGCCCAGAUGUUUACUAAAAGCUGGCUUUCAAGUUUCAGUACAUGUUUUGGUGUUGCUUUCUUUUACCCAAGUUGAUGUCAUGUAUUCUGACCAUGCUAAAAGAAGAAGGAACGGUUGUCGUAAUGUUUCACAAUUCCAUCGCACGCUGUUGUAAAACCUCUGUGACGCGGUUGACGAGAAAUCACUUUUCUGUUUUCAAAGAGAAUUUAAAAGAUGAGAAUGGGGGUUGGGGGGGGAGAAAAGCCAUCUGGGUGCUUCGGAGGUCUAAUCCUCGGUCACCCCCGUACUGGAGCCCUG